rnacentral:rRNA from 1 species
AGUGAACGCUGGCGGUAGGCCUAACACAUGCAAGUCGAACGGCAGCACAGUAAGAGCCUGCUCUUACGGGUGGCGAGUGGCGGACGGGUGAGGAAUACAUCGGAAUCUACUUUUUCGUGGGGGAUAACGUAGGGAAACUUACGCUAAUACCGCAUACGACCUACGGGUGAAAGCAGGGGAUCUUCGGACCUUGCGCGAUUGAAUGAGCCGAUGUCGGAUUAGCUAGUUGGCGGGGUAAAGGCCCACCAAGGCGACGAUCCGUAGCUGGUCUGAGAGGAUGAUCAGCCACACUGGAACUGAGGCACGGCCCAGACUCCUACGGGAGGCAGCAGUGGGGAAUAUUGGACAAUGGGCGCAAGCCUGAUCCAGCCAUACCGCGUGGGUGAAGAAGGCCUUCGGGUUGUAAAGCCCUUUUGUUGGGAAAGAAAAGCAGCAGGUUAAUACCCCGCUGUUCUGACGGUACCCAAAGAAUAAGCACCGGCUAACUUCGUG